rnacentral:rRNA from 1 species
CUGCUGCCUUCCGUAGGAGUUUGGGCCGUGUCUCAGUCCCAAUGUGGCCGUCCACCCUCUCAGGCCGGCUACUGAUCGUCGCCUUGGUGGGCCUUUACCCCGCCAACCAGCUAAUCAGACGCGGGUCCAUCUUGCACCACCGGAGUUUUUCACACUGUCCCAUGCAGGGCCGUGCGCUUAUGCGGUAUUAGCACCUAUUUCUAAGUGUUAUCCCCCACGUGCAAGGCAGGUUACCCACGCGUUACUCACCCGUCCGCCA